AGAGUUUGAUACUGGCUCAGAACGAACGUUGGCGGCGUGGAUUAGGCAUGCAAGUCGAACGAGAAUCUAUCGUUUCAAUCUUUCGGGAGAGAAAUGGUAGAGGAGAGUGGCGAGAGGGUGAGGAACACGUGGGCAAUCUGUCUUCAAGUUGGGGAUAACACACCGAAAGGAAUGCUAAUACCGAAUGUGGUUUUCCCUCGCAUGGGGGAACGACUAAAGGUGGGGAUCUUUCGAGACCUGCCGCUUGAUGAGGAGCCCGCGCCCCAUCAGCUUGUUGGUGAGGUAAUGGCCCACCAAGGCUUACGGGUAGCUGGUCUGAGAGGAUGGUCAGCCACACUGGGACUGAGACACUGCCCAGACUCCUACGGGAGGCUGCAGCCGAGGAUCAUUCGCAAUGCGCGAAAGCGUGACGAUGCGACGCCGCGUGGAGGAUGACAGCCUUCGGGUUGUAAACUCCUGUCAUUGGGGAGCAAUUGUCCCAUUUCGAAUAGGCUUGGGAUUUGAUAGUACCCAAAGAGGAAGUCACGGCUAACUCUGUGCCAGCAGCCGCGGUAAUACAGAGGUGGCAAACGUUGUUCGGAUUUACUGGGCGUAAAGGGUGCGUAGGGGGUUUCGUAUGUCGGAUGUGAAAGCCUGCCGCUUAACGGCAGAACUGCACUCGAAACUGCGAGACUAGAGUACCGGAGAGGAGAGCGGAAUUCUCGGUGUAGCGGUGAAAUGCGCAGAUAUCGAGAGGAACACCGGUGGCGAAGGCGGCUCUCUGGACGGAUACUGACCCUGAGGCACGAAAGCUGGGGGAGCAAACAGGAUUAGAUACCCUGGUAGUCCCAGCCGUAAACGGUGUCCACUUGGUGUGGGGGGAGUUGACCCCCUCCGUGCUGGAGCUAACGCGUUAAGUGGACCGCCUGGGGAGUACGGCCGCAAGGCUAAAACUCAAAGAAAUUGACGGGGGCCCGCACAAGCGGAGGAGCAUGUGGCUCAAUUCGAUGCAACGCGAAGAACCUUACCAAGGCUUGACAUGCAGCUGCACGUCCCGUGAAAGCGGGAUUCCUUCGAGGGUGCUGCACAGGUGCUGCAUGGCUGUCGUCAGUUCGUGCCGUGAGGUGUUGGGUUAAGUCCCGCAACGAACGCAACCCCUGUGUCUAGUUGCGACCGCCGGUGAUGAGCCGGCGAGCACUCUAGACAGACUGCCCGUGAUAAGCGGGAGGAUGGUGGAUGACGUCAAGUCCGUAUGGCCUUUAUGCCUUGGGCUGCACACGUGCUACAAUGGUCGGUCCAGAAGGACGCAAUGCCGCGAGGUGGAGCAAAUCCCUAAAGCCGGCCUCAGUUCGGAUUGGAGUCUGAAACUCGACUCCAUGAAGUCGGAUUCGCUAGUAACGGCGUAUCAGCUACGGCGCCGUAAAUACGUUCCCGGGCCUUGUACACACCGCCCGUCACAUCAUGAAAGCCGUCUGUACCCGAAGUCGCUGUUCCAACCCUUCACAGGGAGGAAGGGGCCGACGGUGUGGGUGGUAAUUGGGAUGAAGUCGUAACAAGGU
rnacentral:rRNA from 1 species